AUGAACCCCUCCUCGGCCCCAGGCCCGGAUGGCCUCCCAGUGAAGUUCUUCCAGACCUUCUGGGAGGUGAUCAAACCCGAGGUGAUAUCCCUAUUCGACGAGUUCAUGGCUGGGACCAUUAACCUCGGCCGGCUGAAUUAUGGGGUAAUCACUCUCAUCCCUAAGGUGACGGGUGCCUCGGACAUCUGGCAAUUUCGGCCGAUUACAGUGAUUAACGUCAUCUUCCGCAUCCUAGCCAAGGGGUACGCCAUUAGGGUGGCCCCUAUAGUUGACCGGAUCACUCACCCUGACCAGUCGGCCUUCAUUCAGUGCCGCUAUAUCCUUGAUGGAGUCCUA
rnacentral:rRNA from 1 species